ensembl:snoRNA U3 Small nucleolar RNA U3
AAGACUAUACUUUCAGGGAUCAUUUCUAUAGUUCUUGACUUGAGAAAUGUGUUUUUAAUGGGUAUGGUCUCGCUAACCACAAUGAUGAGUUGUGAUAUUCUUUUCUGAGCAUGAAGUGGAUAGAGAGAAAUGAUACAUGUCAUACACUCUCUGUCAUUGAUGACUGCUCUUUGCUCUUCUAGAGAGCAUUGAGGAAGAGAACAUGUUCAGAGUGGU